AGUGAACGCUGGCGGUAGGCCUAACACAUGCAAGUCGAACGGCAGCACAGUAAGAGCUUGCUCUUACGGGUGGCGCGUGGCGGACGGGUGCGGAAUACAUCGGAAUCUACUUUUUCGUGGGGGAUAACGUAGGGAAACUUACGCUAAUACCGCAUACUACCUACGGGUGAAAGCAUGGGCUCUUCGGACCUUGCGCGACUGAAUGAGCCGAUGUCGGAUUAGCUAGUUGGCGGGGUACAGGCCCACCAAGGCGACGAUCCGUAGCUGGUCUGAGAGGAUGAUCAGCCACACUGGAACUGAGACACGGUCCAGACUCCUACGGGAGGGAGCAGUGGGGAAUAUUGGACAAUGGGCGCAAACCUGAUCCAGCCAUACCGCGUGGGUGAAGAAGGCCUUCGGGUUGUAAAGCCCUUUUGUUGGGAAAGAAAAGCAGCAGGUGAAUACCCCGCUGUUCUGACGGUACCCAAAGAAUAAGCACCGGCUAACUUCGUG
rnacentral:rRNA from 1 species